ACUUCCGGUACGGGAAACUCCAGACUGCGGCUUCGCCGGGCUUGACAGGCGCGGUCCGUGCCGGCGGCGUGCGUUCCUCACUUCGCUCGGCCUCCGGGUCGCCGUUCCGCCGCCCCUUUCUCGACUCUCCGCUUCCCUAUGUUCCGGAGCCGGAGUCCGGGAAGCAAAGACCCUCUUGCCCAGUCCCCAUCAUGUCCGAAGUGACCAAAGAGCUGCUGGAGCUGGUAUGGGGCACCAAGAGCAGCCCCGGGCUGUCGGACACCAUCUUCUGCCGCUGGACGCAAGGGUUUGUGUUUAGUGAAUCAGAGGGAUCUGCAUUAGAACAGUUUGAAGGUGGCCCCUGUGCUGUUAUUGCACCUGUUCAGGCAUUUCUUUUGAAGAAGCUUCUGUUUUCCUCUGAGAAGUCGUCCUGGCGGGAUUGCUCAGAGGAAGAGCAGAAGGAGCUCCUCUGUCAUACCUUAUGUGAUAUUUUAGAAAGUGCUUGUGACAGCUCUGGAUCCUACUGCUUGGUUUCAUGGUUAAGAGGAAGGACAACCGAGGAAACGGCUAGUGUUGCUGAGAGUCCUGCACAGGCUAGUUGCCGAGUGGAGCAUUCUUCUGCCUUGGCUGUCGAAGAGCUUGGCUUUGAGCGAUUUCAUGCAUUAAUUCAAAAAAGAUCAUUCAGAACUGUAUCAGAAUUAAAAGAUGCUGUCUUGGACCAGUAUUCAAUGUGGGGAAACAAAUUUGGAGUCUUGCUUUUUCUCUAUUCUGUAUUACUGACAAAGGGCAUUGAAAAUAUAAAGAAUUCAAUUGAAGAUGCAAAUGAGCCUUUGAUAGACCCUGUGUACGGGCAUGGCAGCCAAAGCUUAAUUAACCUCCUACUGACGGGACAUGCAGUUUCUAAUGUUUGGGAUGGUGAUAGAGAGUGCUCAGGAAUGCAACUUCUCGGUAUCCAUGAACAAGCAGCUGUAGGAUUCUUAACAUUAAUGGAAGCAUUACGAUAUUGUAAGGUUGGUUCUUACUUGAAAUCUCCAAAAUUCCCUAUUUGGAUUGUUGGCAGCGAAACUCACCUCACCGUGUUUUUUGCCAAGGAUAUGGCUUUAGUUGCCCCCGAGGCGCCUUCUGAGCAAGCCAGAAGAGUUUUUCAAACCUAUGAUCCAGAAGAUAAUGGAUUCAUAGCUGACUCCCUUCUAGAAGAUUUGAUGAAAGCCUUGGACCUUGUUUCAGAUCCCGAGUAUAUAAAUCUCAUGAAGAACAAAUUAGAUCCAGAAGGAUUAGGAAUCAUAUUAUUGGGUCCAUUUCUUCAAGAAUUUUUUCCUGAGCAGGGCUCCAGUGGUCCAGAAUCUUUUACUGUCUACCACUACAAUGGAUUGAAGCAGUCAAAUUAUAAUGAAAAGAUGAGGCCUCUGAGACAGGGAGAUUAAGUGACUCACCCAGAGUCACACAGCAAGUCAUUGACAGAGCAGGGAUUGGAACUGAGUUCCUGAUUCCCAAUCCUGUCCUUGGUCUGCUUGGCCACGCUACCUGUAUAUAGUAAUGUAUGUGGAAGGGACUGCCGUGGUUAUGGGUUUUGAAGACCCCAUGCUACAAACAGAUGACACUCCUAUUAAACGCUGUCUCCAAACCAAAUGGCCAUACAUUGAGUUACUGUGGACCACAGAGCGCUCUCCUUCACUCAAUUGAGUUGCCUGAGUAUUUAGAAGGAAGAUUAUAAAAACGGGUGUUGAAGGGGGGUUCACGACUGGCAACAUUAAGCUAAACACUGGUAUUGUUGAUUAACUGUAAAUAACAAUUAAAAACACACUUUCAGUGUUUAAGAUAUGUUUAAAUUAUUUGUUCUAAAGCUUUAUGUUAAAGGUUAUCCUAUUUUAAUCCUUUCUAUGAAAUUUACUAGCAAAAUUAAGCUUUAAUUAAAGUUCAUCACUUCUUCAGUCAAGUAAUUGGUUGUUACUUACCAGAUUAUAAACACAAUAUUACAGCAUUUUUAUAAUGAGACUCAGUCACAAAAACCUGCCUGGAACCUCAUUUCAUUCCGAUUCAUUUUAUUGUAUUAUUUUUAGUAGCCUUCACACCAAAUGUGCAGAAGUUAAUUUUUGUUUUCAUUGCUAAAAUCUGUUUUCCAUGAGGAAUACUAAUAAAUAACAAAUUAUCAGCCCUGGUCCUUUGGUAAAUAAUUUAACUCUAGCAUGUUUACAGAAAAUGGAACCUAUGUGGGAACUUUCCAUUUGUUCACAGGUGCAUAGGGAUGUGUUUUUACAAUGAUGGAGAGAAUGUUUGCUCGGAGCUCCUAACUGUAACUUUCACUGUAUUGCUAAGUACACUUCUCCACCUUUGUUCCUUCAAGCCAGCUUCCUUGUAUAUUUAUAAGCAUGGUAAAUGCAUGAGAACAGCUGUUGUUACAUUAGCAUAUGGCAUUAUUUAUUAUGAUCCCAGUUAAUACCAUAAAUAAAGACUUUUUUUCUUUAACUACA